CUCGUACCUUUCACGGCAAAAGAGAUACAGCCAAUGCUUACUUGGCUGGAGACAGUGCUGGGGAUGCUGGGGGGUGACAAGAGGACUCAAGGAAGCCACAUCCCAAAUAAUAAAUGCCUCGCACCUUCUCCAGGUAGUUGGCGAGUCUGUCGUUCAGGAACUGCAUCGUCUCCUUCUCGUUGCUGUUGAACAUCCCAUCCUCACACCAAGCACCGCUCCCCACCAAGCACGGAAUGUGACCAUUCCCAGCCAAGUAGCACGGUGUGACACAGCCGGUUGCCAAGCGAGACCCAGAUAGGAAGCUAGGGGUCUGACCUCUGGAGGUGGCUUGGGCGCUGGGGAGGUGAGUGGUUUCCAUGGAACAGGGUGAAGCGAACACACAGUCGGAAGCUGUGGCACAGGAUUCAGAGGAGCAGCACGUAGGGGAGCAGUCCGAAGUCAUCCUGUCGAACGAAGAACCAAGACUAGUUGCAAAACUCCGGCUGACUGGCUGCCGAGGUCUCCUUCCCUCCUGAGACUUUUAUACAGUCCCCCAAAUGGGUAUUUAUGGAACAGACCGGAUGUUUUCUUUAUCACUGUUGGUGGCAGUUGUCAUAUGAACACUCAUCAGGGUUGUUUGUUUGCUGAGGAAGAGUUUUAUGCUUCAUAAAAGAGGCAUAACUUCAGGUUACUAAAAAAGGACACUGUUUCCAUAUGCCAAUAGGAUAAAAUGCUUGGUCCAGAAUAAAAUCUUCUUAGGAAGCGCUGUCCGUUUGGCAGACUUUGGAAAGAUGGAGAAAAUGUGGCCCCUCGGUAAUUAUAGGUACAACUCAUUACAAAUAACGAAAACAAUAUUCCCACACAUUUUGAUCCUGGGUACUGGAAAUUGUUUAUGUAUCCUCUUAAAAUUCAUAUUACAUCUCAUUAAAUGCCAUUUAUUUGUUUGUGCCACCAUCAUAAAAAUGUUCCCUGUA